CCCGACUGCUAUUUGGGUGCGAAUAAGCCAUGCAAGUCGAAUGGAAUACCAAAAUAUUCCAUGGCAAACUGCUCAAUAACACGUGAUCAACUUACCCUAUGGAAAACAAUAACCUCUGGAAACGGAGGAUAAUGGUUUAUAGUUGAAAAGGCUUGGAAAAGUUUUUCAAUAAAAGGGAAUAAUAAAAAUGGUUAUUAUUUUGCCAUAGGAUAGGAUUGCGGUCGAUUAUGGCUGUUGGUGAGGUAAUGGCUCACCAAACCAAUAAUCGAUAGGGGCCGUGAGAGCGGGAGCCCCGAGAUGGGUACUGAGACAACGACCCAGGCCUUACGAGGUGCAGCAGGCGCGAAAACUCCGCAAUACACGAAAGUGUGACGGGGUUACCCAAAGUGCUUAAUUUUUAAGCUGUGGUAAGUGUGUAAUGUACCUUACUAGAAAGGAGAGGGCAAGGCUGGUGCCAGCCGCCGCGGUAAAACCAGCUCUUCAAGUGGUCGGGAUAUUAUUGGGCUUAAAGUGUCCGUAGCUUGUAUAAUAAGUUCCUGGUAAAAUCUAAUAGCUUAACUAUUAGUAUGCUAGGAAUACUGUUAUACUAGAGGGCGGGAGAGGUUUGAGGUACUUCAGGGGUAGGGGUGAAAUCCUAUAAUCCUUGAAGGACCACCAGUGGCGAAGGCGUCAGACUGGAACGCGCCUGACAGUGAGGGACGAAAGCCAGGGGAGCGAACCGGAUUAGAUACCCGGGUAGUCCUGGCCGUAAACGAUGCACACUAGGUGUUGGUAUGGCUAUGAGCCAUAUCAGUGCCGAAGGGAAACCAUUAAGUGUGCCGCCUGGGAAGUACGGUCGCAAGGCUAAAACUUAAAGGAAUUGGCGGGGGAGCACCACAAGGGUGAAGCCUGCGGUUCA
rnacentral:rRNA from 1 species